rnacentral:rRNA from 1 species
UUCGGGCUCGACCUCCAACCCUUUGUGAACACAACUUGUUGCUUCGGGGGCGACCCUGCCGUUUCGACGGCGAGCGCCCCCGGAGGCCUUCAAACACUGCAUCUUUGCGUCGGAGUUUAAGUAAAUUAAACAAAACUUUCAACAACGGAUCUCUUGGUUCUGGCAUCGAUGAAGAACGCAGCGAAAUGCGAUAAGUAAUGUGAAUUGCAGAAUUCAGUGAAUCAUCGAAUCUUUGAACGCACAUUGCGCCCCUUGGUAUUCCGAGGGGCAUGCCUGUUCGAGCGUCAUUUCACCACUCAAGCCUCGCUUGGUAUUGGGCGCCGCGGUGUUCCGCGCGCCUCAAAGUCUCCGGCUGAGCUGUCCGUCUCUAAGCGUUGUGAUUUCAUUAAUCGCUUCGGAGCGCGGGCGGUCGCGGCCGUUAAAUCUU